rnacentral:rRNA from 1 species
GACGAACGCUGGCGGCGUGCUUAACACAUGCAAGUCGAACGGAAAGGCCCUGCUUUUGUGGGGUGCUCGAGUGGCGAACGGGUGAGUAACACGUGAGUAACCUGCCCUUGACUUUGGGAUAACUUCAGGAAACUGGGGCUAAUACCGGAUAGGAGCUCCUGCUGCAUGGUGGGGGUUGGAAAGUUUCGGCGGUUGGGGAUGGACUCGCGGCUUAUCAGCUUGUUGGUGGGGUAGUGGCUUACCAAGGCUUUGACGGGUAGCCGGCCUGAGAGGGUGACCGGCCACAUUGGGACUGAGAUACGGCCCAGACUCCUACGGGAGGCAGCAGGGGGGAAUAUUGCACAAUGGGCGGAAGCCUGAUGCAGCAACGCCGCGUGCGGGAUGACGGCCUGCGGGUUGUAAACCGCUUUCGCCUGUGACGAAGCGUGAGUGACGGUAAUGGGUAAAGAAGCACCGGCUAACUACGUG